rnacentral:rRNA from 1 species
GACGAACGCUGGCGGCGUGCUUAACACAUGCAAGUCGAGCGGAAAGGCCCUUUCGGGGUACUCGAGCGGCGAACGGGUGAGUAACACGUGAGUAAUCUGCCCUUCACUCUGGGAUAGCCACCGGAAACGGUGAUUAAUACCGGAUAUGACACGCGACCGCAUGGUCUGUGUGUGGAAACUUUUUGGGUGGGGGAUGUGCUCGCGGCCUAUCAGCUUGUUGGUGGGGUAAUGGCCUACCAAGGCUUCGACGGGUAGCCGGCCUGCGAGGGUGACCGGCCACACUGGGACUGAGACACGGCCCAGACUCCUACGGGAGGCAGCAGUGGGGAAUAUUGGACAAUGGGCGGAAGCCUGAUCCAGCAACGCCGCGUGAGGGAUGACGGCCUUCGGGUUGUAAACCUCUUUCAGCACCGACGAAGCGACCUUUGGGAGUGACGGUAGGUGCAGAAGAAGGACCGGCCAACUACGUGCCAGCCGCCGCUGUAAGAC